rnacentral:ribozyme from 1 species
AUUGUAACAGAAGAAGAAAAGAAAAGAAGAGGGGGACAAAAAAACAACUUUUCUUGUUUUUUGUUUCCCUUCGAUUUUUGCUUCUCAAAACUUCUUUCCCCCCUUUCCCCAACUUUGUUUUUUUUUUGGAUAAA